GGCUCAGGAUGAACGCUAGCGACAGGCUUAACACAUGCAAGUCGAGGGCAUCACGGGAGUAGCAAUACAACUGGUGGCGACCGGCGCACGGGUGAGUAACGCGUAUGCAACCUACCUAUCAGGAGGGGAAUAACCCGGCGAAAGUCGGACUAAUACCGCAUAAAACAGGGGCACCGCAUGGUGAUAUUUGUUAAAGAAAUUCGCUGAUAGAUGGGCAUGCGUUCCAUUAGGUAGUUGGUGAGGUAACGGCUCACCAAGCCGACGAUGGAUAGGGGAACUGAGAGGUUGGUCCCCCACACUGGUACUGAGACACGGACCAGACUCCUACGGGAGGCAGCAGUGAGGAAUAUUGGUCAAUGGGCGGGAGCCUGAACCAGCCAAGUCGCGUGAAAGGAAGAAGGAUCUAUGGUUCGUAAACUUCUUUUGCAGGGGAAUAAAGUGCAGGACGUGUCCUGUUUUGUAUGUACCCUGAGAAUAAGGAUCGGCUAACUCCGUGCCAGCCGCUGC
rnacentral:rRNA from 1 species